rnacentral:rRNA from 1 species
GGCAAUGGCCUGGGGGUCCCACCUGUUCCCAUUCCGAACACAGAAGUUAAGCCCCAGCACGUCGAAGGUACUUGGCUGGCGACGGCCCGGAAGAAUAGAUCGCUGCCGCAU